AUAUUUCCCAGAAAGAGAGAGACCGUGAUCGUGAAGGUGAUUUUCCCAGGGCGAGGCUCACCACCUGCAAUGUGGAUGUGCUCAGCCCUGACACUUCCUCAAGUGUGAAAGUGAAGGACCGUGUUUACCUCGUCUCUGUA
rnacentral:snRNA from 1 species